AAAGUAAGAUCCCUGAGAGAUGAUCAGGUAGAUAGGUCAGGAGUGGAAGUACAGUGAUGUAUGGAGCGGACUGAUACUAAUCGAUCGAGGACUUAACCAA
rnacentral:rRNA from 1 species